UCUUCAUUUCACGUGCUCACUCACCGCUCAGAGAGACGAGAGAGUGUGUGAGAUGAAGAGA
rnacentral:pre_miRNA from 1 species